rnacentral:lncRNA from 1 species
AAGUGCAAGAAGAAAAAGAAAAUAAGAUAGAGAACAAGUAAGCACACCACAAACAACCAAGAUUUAUAGUGGUUCGAUGCCAACCUUGCACCUACAUCCACUCCCCAAGCUCCUACUUGAGAAUUCAAAUCCACUAAACCAUAUUCAACAAAAAUACAACAUCGGUACCUCUGACUCUAGCUAUCCCAAACUAGAACACUUAUUUCUCGAGUACAAGCCAACCCAAU